rnacentral:lncRNA from 1 species
GAAGGUCUUGCUUGUCUUCUAUCCUUUGCAAAUGAGCAGUAUAGUUUAUGUCCUGUUCCUUUCACUAUUAUAACUAAUUUUUAAGGACAUAUGGUAUAACUGAAUAUCCCUAGAUGUGUUUAUCUUGGCACCACCCAGCAAGAAAAGGAACUGUCCCUUAGAGCAUAAGGAAUCUAGGAACAUCAAUUAUAAAGACGAUACGUGGAAGCGGAAUUGCUCCCGGAUAGCUCUAUUUCCAGACAGAAAAAUCCAACAGAUCAGACCAGGUAAGUCAAGGUCACAUCGCUGACUGCUGUCUGUGAUGAGCUUUCCUCCAAAGCAAAGACGGUAAACCUGACAGGUUUCCAAUGAUGCCCCGGGGCUCCGCACCUUGCACAUGGCUCUCCCAAAGCUGGAAGACGGUCUGUCUGUUCCUGAGGGGUCAGGGUCACCACUGCGUCUCUAAAGACAUUGGCCAGUCAGGCGCGAGUGGAGACGAGGCUCAUCAAAGUAAGCUGAGUUUUUUGAGGCCUCUGCACUUGAAUGGGUUGCUGAAAUGGCCCCGGGACGCUUCCCUGGGAAUCAUGGUUAUCCUCUGCUCUCAGCAGGUCCUGGGGAAACCAAUGAUGAGCCUCACAAUGUCUCAACCUCCCCUCUGUGAAAGAGGCGUCUUGUGGGGGUGACAUUUUCAGGAACCCACAGCCAGGGUUACCAUCCUGUAAACUCCUUAAGUCGUGCUCUCCAUUGGGGCCACCAGGGCGAAUUUCUCCCCAAAGUCGUGGAAAAGGGGGCACUUUGGAUGGAGAAAGCAGAGGACAGCGGGCAAAGCGGACAGUUCCUGGGAUGUCAAGCCAGUGCCCAUAAGCAGUUAGAAGAGCAAGUAGCUUCCUGGGCCUGGACGAGGGCGAUGCUCUGGAAAGAUCCACGGGCACGCAGGUGGUAAAGGGACGCGAGCUGCUGGGACGGGGCAGGGGACUGAGUCCGGACUCGAUUCCUGCAAAAGCGAGCUGCACGCAGCAGCUCCGCCGCCGCACAGCGCAGCGUCAGACCCUCUUGGCUCCCUUGUCUAGUCGUUCCCUCACAUCCCUCCCGGACUCGUUCCGCGGGAGGCGGCGCAGGAGCACAGGCCGCAGCCAGGCUGCCCCUCCCCGCAAGGGCUGGGCAGGGUGGGCGCGCGCCGCAUCCUGGGAGUUGUAGUUUUGCAGCCGCGCUCCGCGCAUCCUGGGAGUUGUAGUCCUGCAACCAUGCAACCUGCUGCUGGGAGCAGUUAAGAGACUCCAGCUCCCAGUAUGCCUAGCGAGGGGACGCGGUUCCAGCGCGUCCUGCCGAGCGCGGAUAUUCCGAAGCCCAGCCGGCGAGACCCAGCGUGGCCCGGUGGUCCCACAGCGGCUGCACUCGCCCUGUUACCGUGGCCCUGCGUCUACACGGGAUGCCGCUGGGUCGACUUGUCGCGGCGGGAGUUGGACUUCUCGCAGACCGGCGAGUGCCCAGCGCCUCUUGCUGAUUGCGGGAGUGGGCGCGGGCCCGCCCCCCGCCGCGCCACGCCCACUCUCCACGCCACGCCCCCUUGGCCAUGCGCCAUGGGGCACCCAGGCAGAGGUGAGCCGACCGGCUUGGCGGGGUCUGAGACUGCCCAAGCGCAAACAGGGCUUCGAACUCUGAAUUCACGGGCUAGUCUGGAAAUGCCAGUACCUGGGAAACUCGAACUUGGCUUUUCAGCGCCGCUUUUCCCUGUAUCCCCUCCAUCCCUCUGGCUGCCACCGUCCUCCCUCUGGACCCCGUGGUCAGGCUCGCUGCAGAGCCCCGUGGACCCCGCCGGGCUGAGCGGUCCACACCUCGGUCAGCCCUCUUGGAAGGACUGCCCCAGCCAUGUUAUAAAAGGAGGAAAUGUCACAGUGGGCAGACCCCACUCCUGCGUUAUAGACAGGAAACUCAGGCGUACAGUUUCUCUAAUUCCAAGUUCGACGUUACUACCUGCUUCUCAAAUGAGUAAUUGGCAGCCUCAAUUCUCUGCAGAGGGGAUGCAGAAUAGCAGAGUAUCUGUGAUACAACUUUCGGGAACAUCAAUUUUACUACAAGAUUUAUAACAAAUGGAGUUAAGUAACUUCCAAGGUGCUGGAUACACAGUCUGAACAGCACAGUUUAGGGUCCUGUGCUAUGAAGAAACCUACAUGCUAAUCCUGGGAAAUGAGACAAGCAACAAGCAAGUGAACCCAGGAAAAACCAGUGUCACUUCAGAUGGUGAUAAAGCAGGGUCAUGUGAUCGAGCGAGCCCAAAUGGCUAGUGGACAGAAGGUCACUCUAUUUUAGAUUGGCUGGUCAGGGUAGGUCUCUCUAAGGAGGUAAGAUUCAAGCUUUCCAGGUAGGAGGUACAGUCGAAGAAUGUAUCCAUGAAGGUGAGAGCCCAUUUGAGUGCUGUGGAUGCCAGCCUGGGAAAGUGACCGAUGGGGAGAAAGGUAUCAGCCUCAAUAUCCUCACCACCUUGUUCCUUCACUGUUCCAAAGUUGGCAACAUAGCAAUUCUGAGUCGAUCCAGAUUUCUAGUUUAUUUUAUCUGGAAUCCAAGCUACAGAAGACAACUGGAGAAUUCCUCACGCUUACACAUUUAUUAAAUUCAAUCCAGGCAACGUGAUGAUGAUAUCCAGGGAUGUUUCCCUGCCUUGUGUGGUGAAAAAUUGUAAAAGAUGUUGAAAAGGCUUACCUACUUACCUUUCUGAGUUAUCUCUGCCUUUCAUCGUGUUUGCUCUAGUUUAUAAAUUGUACAUUGUAGAUACCAGUAGCAAUGCAAGUGAUACUUGUCUACAGACAGGCACAUUGUGUCCAGUGUGGAGACAGCUGAUUUCCCUCUCUGCUGUGGAUGAAGCUAGUUUUGUAUCUAUUUGUAUAUUUAUUUGUGAAUUCCUGAUCUAUUAUUCUUUGAGUUACUUUUUAUACCAAUUACAACAACUUAAUGAAUGAAGUAAAAUCUUUGACACAUAUUCAUUUUAUAUUUGUAUGAAAGUCACAAUUUUAAGUUGUGUGUAUAUAUGUAGGUGUAUGUAUUAUAUAUAAACUUGUUCUUUAACAUUUCACAUUGCACACAGCUAUUUCCCUCAUUUAAUAGCUGUUGCAAACCUUCAUACUUCUUUUUAAGUCUCAUUCUACGACUUCUUCUCACUGCCAGAAAAUAAUUUCUAUUUUGUGGAUAAAAGUAUAGAAUAGCAAAUAAGUAUAUCCUCAGCUGUGUCAUCGGGUCAUUGUAUGAGCAUUCGGAUUCAUCAGUGAUACCCUCUCUCCAUCUCUUUUCUGGGAAAAACAUGCCCCUCCUCUCUGAAGUUAAUCCCUUCCACUGUGCACCCAGUUCUGACUUUCUGCGUCAGUUGAGAUACUUACACUAUUACUGCUCCUCUUUCUCUCAUAAACUUUCAGCACAUACCAAAAUUUAAGUCAGUUUCAUCUUUAAAAAUAUUACCCUGUGUCUGCUUCUGUUCAUUUUCCUUCAUUUCGUUGCAAUAUUUUCUUACAGGCAUCCACACUGGUUCCACUUUCUCACUUCAGCCUACUGCGAUAGGAUUUUUG